AGCUGGCACCCGGCUGCGCUCGGCGAAGAGGGCUGGGGGCGGGAGAUGACGGUGGUCUUCUCCCUGCUUGGCACCCUGCGAGCACCAGCUCCCUUCUCCUCGCCACUCCAAGGUUGCAGACGAAGCAGGUACUGUCCUAGAUGUUAAGGACACAACAUUGAGCAAAAACAUGCAUAGUCCCUGCUUCCGUGACACUUGAGUGAACUGAAUGUGCAAAGUCCCUGUGGCACAGAGUCCCUGGGGCCAGUGUGUGUGGCGGGUAUAGAAGGAGCUAAAGAUGUGAUUAUAAAGUCUUCAGUGGAAUAAUCGCAAGUUCCCGUGUA
rnacentral:sRNA from 1 species